GCCCGCGGCUCACGUUUCCCAUCGCGUCAGAGCUGUGGAAUUUCCUCUCGGGGGGGCGGCGAGGCCGGUGUAGACGGAGCUGGUUUAAGAGCUGGGCCUGCCGGAGAGGGCCUGGGAAAGCACGUUCAGAGAAGAGGAGCCCUUACUACACUCUGAUGCCAGCCAUCAGGCAACGCCUUGUUCUCACAUUGUGAUGGGUAGAAAGUUCAUGCAUGGCAUGUAAAUCUCCCCAUACUACGGAUGGCAGAACUAUUUCUUGUUUUCGAAAAAUUAGAAUACAAUAAAAUAGGCUCGCUCCAAACCGCGCCACGCUUCAUUUAAUCUUUUUCUCCUGUUUCAAAAAGCUGUUUAGGAUUUUGCAGUCCGCUGGGGUCACCGUUUCCAAAUACCUAUUAGCGCCCAAUUGUAGUCUGGUGAGAGGUUCAGUUCGUCAAGAUUUCUGGUUUGUAGGUCGCUGGAGCAAACAGACCUGCAUUAUCAUCUUUGGGUUGCUACUGAGGUAAAGUACACCGUGCCUAUUUUUUAAAAAUCAUUUUACAAACCUUAUACUCAUGUUCUCCCUCUCAGUUCUCUCCUUUCCAAAUACCCUCCCCCUGGCAGUUUGCAAAAAAUAAUAGUAAUAAUAAUAAUACUGUAAUAUUUCCUCCUCUUUGAAUUAUUUGCUCUCAGCUACCUUUCCAAGGAAAGCUGUAGCCUUGAACCUUGCCAGGCUCAACUGAACUUCCCUAAUUCACCCCCAGUCAUUUUCUAAAUGUGAGGGGGUUUUUUUAGCAAAAUCUCAUAAAUUUGGGAGAGGUGCUGUUAUUUGAACUGGUGCUUCUGGCUGUCUCUGUAGUUUCCUAAGAGCCGGUAAGUGUAGGAACUCGAAUGAUAUUUCCUGUGUUCCCAAGUAAAAUAAGCUAGCAGCAUGUUUUUCUAUUCUUAGUUGAAAUGAAAAUUAGUUUUUGAAAGUCCUGUAGUUAGCUUAGUCCACCGUAGCCUGCUGAUGACCUCAGUGGUGGAGGACCUGAGGCCUCGAAUGUUAAAAUUAGAACUGACUUUGAGCACUAGCCCUAUUUACCAGCUGGGCACCUUAUUUUUAUUUGACUAACACUUAGGCAGCAUUUACUAUGUGCCAAGCAUUUUACAAAUAUUUUCUUGGCGAAUCCUCAUAGUAGUGUUACUCUAUAACGCUCUUAUGAAAUAGUGUGGCUGUUAUCCUCACUUUGCAGGUGAGGAAUCUGAGACAUGGGGCUGUGAACUCAUUUGGGUUUAUGAACAUCACUCCAUCUCGCCUCCCUCGCACGUCCUCGAUUGGUGGGAGGUUCCCACAUCCACCACCUUGCGCCCUCCGACCAGUCACUCAGUGGCACUGGGGCCAUGCGGAGGCUGUGACACCGUGGGCAGAAGGGAAGACAACAGUCACAGACGUGGAAAACCAGAGCGAAGCCAGAAGAAAGGAAGCUUUCACAGCUGCGCCUUCCACCCCCAUCCCAUGUAGAGCCGCACAGCAGACCUGUUUUCCACAUGUCUCAUCUUUAAGUCUGGAUUGUGAGUUGUCUGUCCGGCUUUGAGGAGGUGUUUUAUGGUGACUGCAUCAGCCUUCCUCCAGAUCACGGUUUGACUGAUGGAGCCCGGAGUGUGAUUGUCCCCGGAGCCAGCAUCUAUUUUUCCAGUGCUAGGUGCUGUGUUAAUUGAUUUAUAUUCAUUCUCCUGAAUCCUCACAGCGACCCUGUCAAGCACAAGUGUCUACCUCCAUUGCAUGAGGAAAUUAAGACUUGAGGGCUAAGUAACUUGUCCAGUUAUAGUUGUGAGUGUUGGUUGCAAGCUGACAUGUACUGAGCACGGGGACAUGUCGGGCUCUCAGUGCUUCCAUUGACCCCUCAGGAAAACACUACGGGGUAAGUGUUCUCGCUGCCCUCCCCUUCAGGGCCAGGAAGCGGG